rnacentral:rRNA from 1 species
GAUGAACGCUGGCGGCGUGCUUAAUACAUGCAAGUCGAACGAACAGACGAGGCGCUUGCUCCUCUGACGUUAGCGGCGCACGGGUGUGUAACACGUGUAUAACCUACCUAUAAGACUGGUAUAACUUCGGGAAACCGGAGCUAAUCCCGGAUGAUAUAUUGCACCGCAUGGUUCAUUAGUGAAAGACGGUUUUGCGGUAUCUUAUAGAUGGAUCCGGGCGGCAUUAGCUAGUUGGUAGGUUAACGGCUUACCACGGCGACGAUGCGUAGCCGACGGCUGAGGGGGGUCGGCCACACGAGAACUGAGCCGCGGUCCAGACUCCUACGGGAGGCAGCAGAAGCGAACGGUCGGCAGUGGGGGAAAGCCUUACGGAGUAGCGCGGCGUGAGUGAUGAAGGUCUUGGGAGCGGAAAGAUGUGUUAUUAGGGAAGAACAAAUGUGGACGUAACUAUGCCGGUCGUGACGGUAACGGGUAAAAAAGCCACGGCUAACUACGUG